rnacentral:lncRNA from 1 species
UUCAAUCUAUACUUGGUAACUAGAAUGGAGAGAUUUUCAAAUGAGUUAUGUAUAUAGCGUUAUUGAUCAUCGAUGUCAUCCAAUACAAAAUUAAGCAGAAUGGACAGGGAUUCUUGUUGUAAUGGUUUUCCGUUUCAACUAAUUUUAUGAAUUUGGAUUAUACAUGUAUAUUGGCAGCUUUGUUGAAGUAGAAGAACAACCAAGGUUGAGCUCGGAGAAACUUCAGAGGCUGGGUUUGAGUUUCCGACCAUUGAAAGAGACGCUUACUGGCUCAGUUGAAAGCUACAAAGAGGCUGGACUGCUCUGAUACCGAAAACAUCUCAGAGCGUGCUCUACGAAUCUAACUACAUUGUUUGAAGUUACACAUCCCACGAUGGAAGAGGAAAAUUUGGCUUAAUUUGUUGCAGUGCCGUUUAGGUUGGUGGAGUCCAAACAUAUAUGUCAGUUUUCUGUCUUAUAGCUACCGCCCAGUGAUAGUUGCCAAAUAAUAUUUCAUCUUUUUGUGUUUGUUGAGAAAACAAUGUUUUGGUUUUGGCCUUUAUGAUCUUACUCAUUCGACUUGUUCAAAUGGAAAUAAGCUAUUGACGGAUAUUUCUCAGGUUCUAGAAUAUGAGUCCCUUGGGGUCCCAGAUUAGGUGUUUAUUGUUUGGAGUUGCUUGAAGGUGUGGAAUAAUAGUCACUCGCAUUGGGCAUCUUAUAAAACAAACUAAAAUUUACAUGAAAUGGUUUCAUUUUUAAUUGCGUUAGUGACAACCCCCUCACUUAUUGGACAAAUGAAUAAGUUUGAGAUAGUAUUAGUGUUUAUUGAAUUGCACAAGUGAUUAAGUUUGAGACAAUAUUAGCGUGAUUAAUAGUGGACUGGUUGCUCCACUCUCAAAAAUCUUAACAUAAGGGUCAUGGUCUAGCACUUACUAGUCUUAGCUCAUCACGUCGCAUGUACACCUCGAUCAUGUCUAAUUAAUUAGAUGAAAAUACACCAAUGAAUAAGAGUCCCUUAUUUAGUGAAAUUAUUUUUCUAAUUAUGUUUUAAUAGUGAUGGUGAUCCGGUAAAAUGCUUUGGAUAUUAUUUCAAUCAGAAUCUUCCGUUGAUGUUAAUGUUAAACAGUAAUACGUAAAUGAUGACAAAGACAUGCCAACUAGCCAUAGCCGGAGACAUGAGCUCGUUACCUAUCAUUUUUUAACACCCUCAUAGACCUAUCAUUAGUUUUGCAGUUAUUUGUGUUUUUUAGUUGGGGUUUAUUGAAAAAUUGCUUGAUUGGUUGGGGGUUUAAGAAGUCAAAUUUGGAGAUUGGUAGGGUAACACUUUCUUGUGAGAUUGUGUCGCAACAGUAGUCUGGAAAAUGAUUUCAACAUUUAUUUUUUCUUGUUGGAUUCUUCUAUUUAUUUGUGUUUUUUAAUUCUCAUUUAAUUAAUUAGUCAUAGAUAACUAUGAGUUUAUGUGGACGUGAAAAUUUGAAUGGGACCAUGAAGUAUCUAUAUGGUGCAGUAUAUAUCUUGACAAAUCAAUGCUUUAGGUGGUAGGCUUUAUAAAAUGUAUUCAGAGUCAUGCAAGUGACAAACAUUGACUUUGUGUUUGCCGAAAAAGUGAUGUACGUAGUAAAUAGUGAAAGGCAAUCUUGACUCGUUUUGUGGACGGUGGAAAUCUUAGCUUGCAAACCGAGUGUCAACACAAUAUGGCCAAAGUUUUAAGUGAAAUCGGGUAUAUAUUUUCUGUUUUAUUCUAACUAGGUUAUGUGCAUGUGUACAUGUGUAAUUGAUUGAACGUUUAUCUACCAAAAAAAUUUAGUCACUAGAGAGAAAAACAAAGAAAAAAAACUCAUCGCCUUGUAUCCUAAAGCCAAAGGCAAGGAUCGUCGGUAAUCCCUCUUGGUCCCUUCCAUUUAUUUCCCAUGUUUCUUCUAUCUUCUAAUCAUCUUUGUCUCUUAUUUUAUGUAGUGUACGGGAAUAAAUGGCUGGUUGGAUCUUCUCAUUUAUCAAUGCCAUUGUUUUUCUUCUCUUUUUUAUUGAGUUGCCUAGUAACUGUUCUAAUAUUAACUAUUUAUCCAACUAAUGCUUUAUAAUCUUCCUAUUUAAGGGGUUCCAUAUGUAUCUUUAAAGAAGUCAUUUAGUGAAUUUUAAAAAUUAUAUCUAAGAAGCGAGUCAUUUUCUCCUUUGAAAAGCGUUUGACUUGGUCUUACGAGGGGUAUUUGAUUGAUAAUGAAAAAAGAAGUUAUACUUAGCCAGGAGGAAAUAAACCUAACCCCUCAUAAUACAAGAAAAAAAAAAGGAUUAAAAAAAUACAUGAAAAUGAAGGGGGACAUAAAUGUUGCCCCGGUAGAAAUGAAAACAAUAGAGAUACAAGGAAAAUAGGGGGGGGGAUGAAACCUAACCCUUAUAAAGUCAAACCUAAAGGUCUAAACCUGCAAAAUAGAUCAAGCAACAUCACAGGGUUAAGAAAAGAGAACAGUCAGAUAAACAUAUAUACUGAGAUGCACAUUAAUUUGAGAAGCAAAAGCCAGGAAAGGCAGCAUAGUCUGAAAGCAAAGCAACAUGAGCCGCCACCGGAUGGAAUCAUACCAUACCAAAGUUGGAGAAAACAAAGCAACACGAGUUCCGUUUUCUUUUUCUUUGGUUGAGUGAUUCUCAGGUUAUCUACACUCGUCUCUUUGAGAACCUUGGCUCGUCCUACGUCACUGUUAUGGUUACUCUUUCACUUCAUUAUAGAGACUUAAUAGCUGUGCCCAGUCUCUUGCUCUGUUGAGAAGAAUCUUUUAUAGAGAUGAAGAUUUACUACUCAAUCACAUAUUUUACAUCAACCGAUGUUAGUCAACUUUGAGGUGAAGGUUUUUUGGGUUCUCUUGGUUUGUGGACUUGGCAAUGACUAUGAAGAAGCUUGAUUUUGUUGGAAGUGACUUAUAACAAUGCUUCUUUGCAAACGAUUGCAAGGUUAUAAUAAGUUGGUGUACUUUACUCAUGGCAACCAUUAUAGUAGUUCUUCAGCUUGCAAGGUUUAGUUCUAGUGAGAAUUAUCUUUCUUGUUUGUUGAUUGUGGGUCUUUUUUGAAUGCAUAAUUGUAUUAUACUCAUGAGUCAUGAUAAAUUUGUAACUAUAGAUUCGCGAUAUUUCUUUUGGUAUAUGCAUACUGUUCUAGGGAUUUUCCAUGUGUUUUUCUUAACUAAAGUUUGUUCUAAGUACCAUGUUGGUGUGCACGUCAUAUGUAAAUUCUUGAUAGUUCUUACUUGUAUAAUGAUUUGGCCCCCGCAUAUGAAAUCCUAGUUCUGCCCCUAGUUUCACUUUCAAGGAUCUAAAAUAAUUACAUUCUAUAUUUUUUUUUAAUCUGGAAACUCUCACUUUGGUGUAUAUACUACAUAGUGUAAAGCUCACUCAUGUGAGGAUUGGGAUAAAACAUUUACCCUCUAUGUUAUAGACUUGCAUCUUUUAUAUAUGGAGAUAUUACAAACCCAUACUCGUACAUAAGUUGUAGCAUUUGUCACGCAUCGAUCCCAAUACAUUAGGAUCGAUACGUGAUGUCACCAUGUGCCUAUUCAUCUAUCAUACCUCGCCUCCGAGACAUGACCAAAACAAACCAAUAGUUCAAUAGCAUAGUAACUUUUUUUUCUUUUAUUUCAUGGCUACAUCUAAUCUCUAUAUUAGAUUGCCUACAUACCCUAAAACGGGAUUAAGCCAUUCGUAGUUUACCCUUUGUCAAGCUCUGACAUUUCUCAUGAUACUUCCUAACAAAAAAACAUAAAGUUCUAAAAUCACUCAAUGGAACUCGAAAAGCAUAAAUCAAUACAUUUCAAAUUCAAUAACGAAAUCAUAUGACAACCAAGAUUGUCAUUUCGUCAUCCGCAUACAUAACAAUGUUUUACAACACAGUUCCACAAUCACAACAAAUAAUAGAUUCCAUGACUCAAGGAUACUCAAUAUUAACAUUUAACUACUUAAUCAACCAACAAGAUCAAAGUAUCCUUUCACGAAAUUUGAUAAUAAUCUUUGUAUUUCCCUACCUGGAUUCCAAGCAAUAUUGUAACCCUAAUUUACAAACAUAAAUGUCUACUAUCAGUAAUUUCUAUUCACAAUAAUCUAGGGUUUAGGACUAACUCCACGGAACCGACCAAGAGUUGGGAUCCCAGACCACUUAACGGAAUCCCACUAUGAAGUGGUCGCCCAUCACGGGUUUACCAAGCACAACUUCUCCUUACAACCUUAUGGAGGAAGUGGUUAGCCAUCACAGAUAUACCAAACACCAUCGCCCCUAGAAUACAUAUGGUCACCCAUCGGGGAUAUACUAAGUAGUACUAUAGGCAUAAACUAAUUGUGUAGGUAGUGAUCACCCUUGAAAUAUGUAUUGUCCCCAUCGGAUAUACCAAGUAGAACCAUAAGCGUGCAUUAAAUGGUGUAGUCCCUUAAUGCGAAUUAACAAAGCAAGACCACCCAUGAGCACCAAGUAACAAGGUAGGCAAUGACCCCUAAUGCAUAUUAACCAACCAGAGUCACCCCUAGAAUGUGUAUGGUCUCCUAAUUCAGAAUUAACCAAGCUUAUGACACCAAUAGCAUGGUCUUUUAAUGCGGAUUAACCAAGUAAGACCACUUAUGGAAACAAGGUAACCAAAUAAGUAGUGACCCCACAAUGCAGAUUAACCAAGCAAAGUCAUGCCUAUAAUGCAUAUAGUCCCCCAAUGCGGAUUAACCAAGCAGGUCCAUAGACAUGCAUCAAAUGGUGUGGUUCCCCAAUGCAGAUUAACCAAGCACGACCACCUAUGUACCACACUGCUACAUGGUUUAGUUGUAUCAUCACACAUUAUACAUCUUACAUCAUGAAUCGUACAUCAUACAUCAAUUCAGCAUGAAUCACAAUUGUAAGCGCGCACACACACACUCGAUUCCACGUGACUAACCAAAAGACUUGUCAUACAACAUAUAAGUUCUACAAAAAACUUCUACUAUGGUUCCAUGCUCAUUUUUUCAUACUAGCAAUGACAUAUCAAUUAUAUCAUCUAGAAGUUCAAUAAUCACGUAAAUUUUAGUAAGUUGCCACCCGCACGCAAAACAAAGCACAUAUCCCUCAAUAUGGCUCGCUUACCAAGAUAGACCCAUUAGACUUUAUCAGACAUCUAGUAAUGUUAAUUUCAGUACUUAAGAACGAUUUGGAACAUUUUGACCAAAUGUCAACCCUUGGUUAAUGUGGUCAACGAUACGGUUAACAACCCUAAUAAUUUAAUCCGGAUGACCUGUACGUCGAACUUCCAACCUGUAAAUUCCUAAGAUCCUAAAGUAUUACGUAUAACCACAUACUAUAAUUUCAUAAGGAUCCAACAGUCAGAUCUUCAUCUACUAGAAAGGCCGUGUGGCGGACCUUUACGAAACUAGGAUCAAACAGUCAAAUCUUGUCAAAGGGGUGUCAAAAACCAAAUUCAGGGCACAUGAAUUGGCCUAAGUAGACAAAGUGGGCAUCGAGCCUACACACCACUGCCACCCGCCAUCGCACACGAUAAUUAGUGGCUAUGACUCGCCGGAUUGUGGCCAUAACAAAAAAUGACCCAUAUUAUGUCAAAUUGAAGCCUGUGGAGGAUGGAGCAAUAUUCAUACAUUUGUCGGAGUCUAGAUAUGAUUGGAAAACCUUAAAUUCCUCAGUAAAGUUGUGGAUCGACGAAAAGGGUGUACCUUGUCGAGUCUUUAAUAGAGCUCGAACGUCAAAUUUAAAGCUCGGAGUUUGCAGCCCAAAUUGAGGUUAAUGCAGUGGAGGCAGUCAUCGACGUUGAGGUGAACGGAGAAGGCAGAUCGUCGGCAUCAAAGUCCCGGAAUUCUCAAGACUCAAUCCGCCACAAAUGAGAGCCAAACUAGGUUGAUCUUGGGUGGGAAAUGACCAUGGGGACGAGAGGAGUCUAUCCCAUAUGGUGGCCAAGAUUGUCGUCGACAAAAUUCAUUGGAAUCGGCGUAUGAAAGUUUGUCCAAAAACAAUCAAAAUUGCAGAGAGAUUCCGAGGCAACCAAGUCGACUUGCAUAGCUGUUUUCUAAAACGAGAAGAGCUCCCUUCCUAAAUCUGGGACCUUCCAUACAUAGGGGUCCAAAAGAUAAAAUUACCCCUUCCCUUGUUUCCUUAUUUCUCCUUCAUUAACAUUCCAAUUCGCGAUCGUUUUUUGUCCACGCAUUUGUGAGAUUGAGUUCUAUUCGAAAACACUAAAAGUGACUAAAAUGGCCUUACAGAUUUUUAAUUACUAAUUACGAAAAUAAAGUGAAUUUGUGUAAAUACGUAAAAUUAGAUAGUGAUAUAUUUCACACCUUCAUUAUUACCAUGGAAAAUUCAACAAGUUGUACUGUUGUAGCCUUCAAUAUUGCUAAGGAAAAUUCAGCAAGUUGUUAUAAGAAAUGACUUCGUGGGCAUCACCCACAUCACUAUUUCACCAAUAAACAUUCACCACGUGGGCAUUCAUCUUUUGUCAAACCAUAUGCAUAAGACUCCCUCCACCGCAUAUAUAAACAGACAAGUAGAAUGACGAAGAAGAUAUAGAUAGAGAGAUCAAUCAUAAGAGAGGUGGGACUGAGAGGAGCAAGGAAAUUAGCUAGGUUGAAUAUAUAACUUGGUAAGAAGAUAUAGCAACGAGAUGGCGGGUGAGGCGGCUGAUCAGAAAGAAAAAGUAUGCGUGACUGGAGCUGGAGGAUUUACUGCCUCUUGGGUCGUCAACCUCCUUCUCUCCAGGGACUAUGUUGUUCAUGGAACUGUCAGGCAACCAGGUCAGUCAAUCCCAACACUCAUCGUAUAUAUAGUAUAAUAUUAAUUGUAUACUUUCAGUGAGAAGAUUGGACUGAAUUGAGAAAAAUAUAUUCGUGCGCGCAUGCAGGAGAUAGCAAGUAUGCUCACUUGAACAAGCUUGAGAAAGCAUCAGUGAACCUCAAACUGUUCAAGGCAGAUUUGUUGGACUACGACUCUCUUCGUUUGGCCAUUGAAGGUUGCAGCGGAGUCUUCCAUGUUGCCAGCCCUGUACCCAAUUCUCUUAAUGAUUCAGACCCUGAGGCAAGAAUCUUCUAGAUUAUGUUAUCUUAAUUAAUUGAGUUAUGAUGAGUAAAUUUAAUCUACACAUUUAGUCUCUCUGGCAUUUACUUUAAUUAAUUAAUGUGUGCCUCGCUCAACGUAAUUUAUUUAACUAUAAUUGUUAGAUUCGACCGGCUGCAUUGAUUGAUUAAUGAAUCCCAUAUUUGAAAAAAAAAAAAAUUUGAAAUUUGAAAGUCCAAAAAAAAAAAAAAAUUGGCUUCCAGUGAAUAAUGCUUGUGCUCCCCUUAUGAAGGAACAUAAUUAUCUCUACAUUUAUAAUUAGCAUAUUUUACUAUACAAAAAUCAUAAUUGGAAUCGUUUAUUCACUUUCAUAUAUAAUCUAAAUAUCAUAUUCAUAAAAAAUCAUGGCUUUUUAUCCAAAAUGAUCCCUGAGAUUUGCAUAACACAUAAUUUUGGCACCUGAGAUUGAAAAUCAAUAAAAAUGGUUCAUGAGAUUUUCUACCAUCCAUGAUUUUAGUCAUUCCGUUAAAAACUCUGUUAGGUGGUUCUAGAGCUCUUGACCAGAAGUUUGGGUAAUUUUCAAAGCUUCAUAACUUAAUCGUUUCUUAACCAAAUUCGACCCAUAAUAUAUCAAAAUGAAGAUAGGAAAGUGUAGAAUAAGAUUAUACCUAUUUGGAAGCCCAAUUGUUUCCCGAUAUAGCAGGAAAAUAGCCUAAAAAGUGACUGGUCCGCAGGAAAACUGGAAAACUAGCCAGAAACUGGGUAAACUUUAAACGUUCAUAACUUCUUCAAUACUCAACCAAAUCGAGUGAUUCAAAAGCUAAACUCACACUUCUCAAUGAGAUACAGAGAAUGGUACCUUUUCUCGAUGGCUAACUCUCCGUGGUUAGACCGGAAAAUGGCUCGAAAGUGGCUAACUCGAUGAGACCAAGACAGCCAAUUUCGAGCCAUUUUAUGGCCAAACGACGGCAAGUUAUCCAUCAAGAAAGGUACCAUUCUCUUCCUCUCAUUGGGAAGUAUGAUUUUUGUUUUUGAAUCACUUGAUUUCGUUGAGUAUUGAGGAAGUUAUGAACGUUAAAAAUUUACCUAGUUUCCGGUGAGUUUUUCAGUUUUCCUACAGACCAGUCACCUUUCAGGCUAUUUUUAGGUCAAAACAUGGCGCAUUAGCCAUCAAGAAAGAUACCAUUCUCUUCGUCUCAUCUAGAAGUAUGAUUUUCAUUUUUGAAUCACUCAAUUUCGUUGAGUAUUGAAGAAGUUAUGAACGUUUAAAGUUUACCCAGUUUACGAUGAAUUUUCCAGUUUUUCUGCAAACCAAUCACCUUUCAAGCUAUCGGCCAAGAGGUCCGGAACCACUUAACGGAGUUUUUAACAAAAGGACCAAAAUCAUGGAUGGUGGAAAAUCAGGGACCAUUUUUAUUGAUUUUCAAUCUUAGGUACCAAAAUUAUGUAUUAUGCAAAUUUCAUAGACCAUUUUGGAUAAAAAGCCAAAAAUCAUUAAAUGUGAAGGUCUUUUAGUCAAUGCUAUGCAUCAAUCAAAGGAACCGUUUAUCAUGAAGAUGCUACUUGUUACCAAAACCAUCGAUUGGUUUAACAUGCAUGGAUGACUAAAAGACAUUCAAAUUGAAUGAUUUUUAGAUGAUGAUAAAUAAAAUGAACGGUUCCAAUUUUGAUGUUCAUACGAUAAAAAUAUGUUAAUUGUAAUUUGGGGGGGGGGGGAAGCAAGUUCUCUUACGAGAGGAACACAAGCAUGAUCCUUUCAGUUUUGAGUAAAAGAACUGAAAUUGUAGAAUAAAUGAAUGUGUUGCAGGAGUUUCUUGAACCAGCAAUAAAGGGAACGCUGAAUGUACUCAAGGCUUGCAAAAAGGCCAAAGUGAAGAGAGUUGUAGUUGUGUCGUCUAUAGCCGCCGUCGUUAUGAACCCGGAGUGGCCUAAGGAUCAAGUCAAGGACGAGACUUGUUGGUCCGUUCCCGAAUAUAUAAAAACAACAAAGAAAUGGUACUAUCUUUCGAAAACAGAAGCAGAACGCGAGGCUCUGGAGUUUGGAAAAAGAAAUGGACUUGAGGUUGUGACUGUUUGUCCUUCUAUCAUUUUGGGGCCAAUCUUGCAAUCCACUCUCAAUUCCAGUAGCUCUCUCAUUGUUGCAACUAUAAUAGGUAUCUCUGUGCAUAUUCAUAUAUUAAGAUUACAAGGUACAAGACAUGUUUCUUGUUUGUGCAAUAUUAAUGUACUAGUGUGUGUGUGUGCAUGCACGCGCGCAACUAUGUACGAAUGUGUAGGUGGUCUUGAGUCCUUGGGAUGCAAUUACUGGACGUUCGUGGAUGUUCGUGAUUUAGCUGACGCGCUGCUUCUUGCAUACAACAAGCCUGAGGCUGCAGGAGAAAGAUACUUAUGCAAUUCACACUCAAUUGGCAUACGAGAUGUGGUGGAGAAAUACUUAAGGCCUACAUAUCCCGAUUACAAGUACCCCAAGAAGUAAGUUAAACCAUUAGACUAGUCCUUCAAUAAUUAAUUAUGGUCUGUUUUUUUUUUUCAAUUCAUCCUUCUGUUUGGUUGUGUACCUUUAACGACUGAUCCAUGUUUAUGUUAUUAAGAUAUGUUACCGGUUGUAUUGGCAGCCUUACCUAUGCAGAGGAAGAAUUUCAACACUUUAGUUCCGAAAAAUUGCAGAAGUUGGGUUGGACUUUCCGGCCAGUUGAGGAAACGCUUAAUGAUUCUAUUGAAAGCUACCGGAAGGCUGGAAUCGUGGGUUAGGAAAAGUUGACAGACUAUUGUAUGUGUACUGUAUUUUCCCUAGCUAGCUAACUAGCUACUCUUAGUAUGCAGACUGCUGUGCACAAUCACAAACAAAAUAAUAGUUCUGCUUGGUAAGUAUGAUAAGCAGCAGUGUUUGCUACUGCCUGCGCUUAUGCUUCAUAUAGGUAGAAAGUUAAGUUAUGCUCUCGUCUUGAUUCCUACCCUAUAUGUUUGGGCCGCUUUAAAUUCCGUCCGGAUCUAACACCUCCGAGCCUUACACGGUGGGGGGUUUUAGGCUCAUGUGUGAAUUAGGCUUAUUUCUAGCUAAAUCUCUAUAUAAUUUAAUUUUAAUCUCACUUUGCCUCUUGUGAGAAUGUGAAGGUAAAAGAGUUUCAUAUUGAUGAAAGGAGAAACCUUGCAAAGGCUUAUAAGAGGUUGGACUACUUUUUAUAUUGCUAAUUGGUCUUAUGGUGGAACCUUAACUUUUUUUAUGGUAUCAAAGCAGGUUGACCCACAUGUAAAGCCCAACAGCUACAUGUGCUCCACCUCACCCAAUUCGUGUUGUCCACGUAUUUAGCAUGAAAGUUCGUCACACGUGAGGGGGUGUGUGAGAAUGUGAAGGUAAAAGAGUUCCACAUUGGUGAAAAGAGAAACCUUGCAAGAGCUUAUAAGAGAUUAGGCUACUCACCAUAUUGCUGAUUGAUUUUAUGGUGGAACCUCAACUUUUUUCACCUCCUAUAACUCAAAGUCUUUAUUUUACUCCCUAAAACUCAAAAUUUGUUCCACUUUGCCCUUGAAACUCGAUAUUGAUCUCAUUUUGCCCUCAUAAACUUAGAAGUCGUCAUUUUACUCACUUGUUCCACAUUCCCUUGAUUAUGUUAAUUCAUUAUGUGGGUUUGAUUUGUAUCCACCAAACUAAUCAUUUUUUUUCCAUCUUUGCAUCUCAAGCACAGAAACCUAAAAAAUUCUAAUUCUUAAUUUCUUCUUUUAAACUUUAUAUUUUCUGAUUGUUGAAUGUUAACGCAUGGUGAAUAUUUAUAAUCAAAUUCAAUGGUACUUGUGAAAAAGUCAUAUUGGGAGGUGGGUCCCCACAUAUGUACCAAAGGGUGACUUUUGGGUUUUCGGGAGAAAAGAUAGUUCACAAAUCAAAGUGAAAUGAUUUUGAGUUUCAAGAAGUAAAAUAGUAACUUUUGAGUUAUUAGGGCAAAGUAAAAUUAAAGUCAAGUUCCAAAGAGCACAACUAAAAAUAAGCAUGCGAAUUACUUCAUUAGGCAUAGACCAUGUUUUCGUGGUCUAAGUGUGUCUAUUCAACUCCUUUUGAGAUUGACCUUCAAAAUCAUAUCCUGCAGAUAUUUCAGAAUAUUUUCGAAACUGAAAUUGAAAUUCACUCUGUAAUGGUCAAAUCAUGUUUUUCAAUAGUCCUAUGCAAUGAUUAAAAAAAUCUAUUGAAUAUCAUCUCGUUCUUGAACUUUCGCUCUUAGUUUUAUUCAGUAUUUUCAUUCUGGUGGAGAUUUGGAAUGACGCAAAUACAUUUAGCGUGGUGAUAUCAUCUAGCUGCAACACUGCAUUGGUAAAGUUAUUUUAGUGGGAUCGUAUCAUUUCAUGUGUGUUUCGACUGUAAUUAUUUCUUUAAUUUUCCAGAAUUGGUAGUCUUUCGAAAACCGAAGGCGAAUUGAGGCCAUGGAGUACGCAAGAAUAAAUGGGCUUGACUUGUUAACCGUUUGUCCUACACUUGUUUUCGGGCCAAUUCUGCAGUACAUUGCAAAUGCAAGUACCUUGGUCCUCAUCAAGCUCUUGAAGGGUACUUAAGUUUUUAUAUAACCACAUGACGCUUAUUUGAAUCUGUUGCUUUAAAAUCUAGGGCUCUUCACAAAAAUAAGCCCCUAUGGAACCCCAUUUUACCACGACCAAAAAAAGAACUCCAUUUCAGAGUUAAAAAACCACAUAAACUUGAUAGGUCACGGAUUUGUUUUUCUGUAGUUUGAUUUUUGAAAUGUUUCUUACUACCAUUAACCAUUACGGGUGCUACCCUAAUUAUGUAUAAAAUCUAAAUAUGUUUAGAUAUAUAGGUAAGUGGUGUUGUAAACUCAUCCUGUGGUAAUUGUCUAUUGUUUAUGCAUUUGGCUCCAUUUUGAUCUCUACAACGCAGGAUCCAGGUUUAUCAUCCAUUCGUGAUCUUCGGGAUCCACAUUAACUGGUUUAGUAUUGUCUCCUCGCAAAAGGGUAUGAGUCACUGGAAAACAAGCUGUGAAUGAUAGUUGCCGUGCGGGAUGUAGCUGAAGCAGUCCUUAUGGCGUAUGAGAAGCCCGAGGCUGAAGGAAGAUAUAUAUGCACCGCUCACAUUAAGGCAAGAGAUCUGGUUGAAGAACUGAGGAGCAUUUAUCCUAAUAAGUAAGGUUUCUUGGAGAGAUUUUCAAAUUAAUUAUGUAUAUAGCGUUAUCGAUCAUCGAUGUCAUCCAACGCAAAAUUAAGUAGAAUGGACAGGGAUUCUUGUUGUAAUGGUUUUCCGUUCAAACUAAUUUUGUAAUUUUGGAUUCGUAUAUCGGCAGCUUUGUUGAAGUAGAAGAACAGCCAAGGUUGAGCUAGGAGAAACUUCAGAGGCUGGGUUUGAGUUUCCGACCUGUUCGUGGCGGAAUGUGGAUCUGGCCCUUCGCACAGCUCCCCAAGGGUUGAUGGCAUUUUGAGUGUGUAUGUUUGGUAGUCGGAUUCUUGCUGCUUGGUGUGCUGCAAGAAGAGUACAAUUUUCGUAUCCAGAUGCUGAUGUCAAAAUUGCGACGUAUAUUCAUAUUCAGGCACAUGAAACGACCCUCGGUUUAACUUUUUUGGUCGGUUUAAAUUUGUGUAACUGUAAACUAACAAGUAUUCAAAAUUGAACUUUAUUGCAACAUAUACAAAAGGCAUUUCAGGGGUAACAUUCCACAGCAUUCCAACUGAUAACACUUCGAACAACACUAUUAUAGUUUAACUCGGUAAACGAUAACUUACAAACUACGCAUCCGGUUUUCGAGCUUUAUUCUUGUUGCCGUAUACCAAUCCAGUCUCCUGAGACGGAAUUCAAGUUGUAAUUUGAAGUAUUUGGCAAGCAAUUGAAAAACUCAAUCAUAAUUUUUUUUCACUUGAAACAGCAUGUUGGAAUGCAUGCAAGUCAUAUCUUUUGUUAAAAUGCAUGCAUGAAAUAAACAUGUUGGAUGACUAGUGAAGUUAGGCUAGUCAACAUUCUUUGUGUAAAUUAGGCAAGUUAGGCAAGUUAGGAAAUUAGGCAAGUUAGGCAAGUUAGGCUUAUCUCUACUUUCUUUUCCUAUAUAUAUGUUUCAUUUGUAAUUGUCUUCAUGAAAUACACAUCAAAAAUUCUACAUGGUAUCAGAGCAGGAACUCUAAAUUCCUGGCUCUGUUGAUCGUUUCCGCUAAGUUUCUUUUACUCUAAGCCAAGAUGGCUGGAGAACAUUAUGAAGCUGAGAGCUCGAUGGAUGCUUUAGCUCUACCUAACGUUGAAAUCAACCCUAAUCAACGUCUCAGUUCUAUUUUGUUGAACGAAUUCAACUAUCUUCCAUGGAGCCGUGCUGUUUCUCUCGCACUUGGAGGGAGAUCAAAGCUUGGCUACGUAAAUGGUGCCAUAAAAGCUCCAGCAGUCACUUCUCCUACCUACGAGUCGUGGCUAUGUAUAGAUUAGUUGGUCAUGUCUUGGUUGCUUAACUCAAUGGAGCGUAGGAUUGCUGAAAUUUUCAGCUAUUCUGAGUCGUCCAUGCAUCUCUGGAAGCAAGUCAAAGAGAUGUAUGGAAAUCAAAAUAAUUCUGCCCGUGUCUUUCAACUUAAGAAGGAUAUUUCGAGCUUGCAACAAGGAGGAAAAGCCUUUGUUCAACAUCUUGGUAACCUUACAAGCAUGUGGAAUGAACUUGAUGUCUAUCGUCCUCAUACCACCGAUGCCACCAUGUUGAUCAAGAGAGCAGAAGAAGACAAGAUUUUUCAACUCUUGGCAAGCUUAGGCUCAGAGUUUGAAGAUCUCAGAAGUCACAUUUUAAUGAAUGUUGAACUUCCUUCAUUCACUGGUGUUUGUGCCAUCAUUCAAAGGGAAGAAGUAAGGAGGAAAGUAAUGAGUCAAGAUACAAAAAAUCCUAUUCCUGAAACUAGAGCAUAUGUCUCCAACAACAAGCGUCCUGAGGGCAAAGUUUAUAAGGGAAAAAGACCAGAUUUGAAGUGCAGCUACUGUGAUUCACUUGGACAUACAAGAGACAGGUGUUGGAUUCUUCAUCCAGAAUUGAAGCCAAAGGGUCCCCAAAGACAGUUGAGUAACAAUGGCUAUAAGGCAAAUUCUGCAGCUAUCUCUUCGACUGAAGGAAUGGUAAACUUCACUACCAAUCCUACAACAUUAAUCAAUGAUUUUGCAGCAUAUCUUCAUAACAAACAGCUGCAUAACAAUGGAGAUGAAGCUCAUGAAGCUACAGUAGCUAAAAAAAAGGAUCACACUGCCUUACUUGGACAAUUUGCUGGUUUCUUGGCUGAGCAUGAUCAUGUUUCGCAGAAGGAUAUUCCAGGUAUUUCAAGUGCCUUAUCUACUGCCUUAAAUGCUAGUAAUGAACAUGAUUAUUGGAUCAUUGACUCAGGUGCUACGGAUCAUAUGACAAAUCAAAUUAAUAACUUGCAUGAUUUCAAAACAUUGUCAAAACCGUCUCAAGUGUCAGUAGCCAAUGGAAAAGGUGCAUUAGUUGUAGGAAAAGGAAAGGUCAACUUACUCUCAAAACACAUAGAGUCAUCAGCUCUUUACAUUCCGUCAUUUCCUUUUCAACUUCUAUCAAUAGGAGCCAUCACCAAUUCUCUAAACUGUCUAGCUAUUUUUUCUCCCCCACAAUGUUGUUUUUCAGGACAUCAUCACCAAGAGAACGAUUGGUGAAGGUUUCUUUUUGAAUGGUCUUUACUACUUAGCUAAAGAUACUAAGGAUCCCAAGGUUUUUCAAGUCAGUUUAAGUGUGUCUCAAGAUCAACAACUUUGGCAUCAACGUUUGGCUCAUCCUUCUGAAAAAGUGAUGUCUUUCUUAUUCCCAAAAUUGUGCAAAGACAAGUUGCACUGUGAUGUUUGUCAUUUGUCUAAAUUUUCCAGGUUGCAUUUUGAGUCCUCCACCAAUAAAGCCAGUCAUCCGUUUGAAAUCAUUCAUUCAGAUAUUUGGGGUCCAAUACUAGAGUCAUUUGAUGGAUAUAGAUAUUUUGUAACCUUUGUUGAUGAUUUCACAAAAAUGACUUGGUUGUAUCUUUUGAAAUUUAAGAGUGAACUUCCAAUUGUUUUUCAAGAUUUUCAUAAACUGGUUGGCACUCAAUUUGCAUCAAAAAUUCAUAUAUUAAGAUCCGACAAUGGCACUGAGUAUAUGUCCCAUAACAUGUCUCAAUACUUGAGUAUUCAUGGCAUCUUGCAUCAAACAACAUGUGUUGGCACACCUCAACAAAAUGGAGUGGCUGAAAGAAAAAAUAGAGAUCUUCUUGAGAAGACAAGAUCAAUCAUGUUUCAUAUGAAUGUACCCAAGAAAUUUUGCUCACAAGGAGUACUUACAGCUGCCUAUCUUAUUAAUAGAUUGCCUAGCAAAAUACUCAGUUUCAAGUCCCCAUUUGAGAUGCUAAAAGGCAGAAAAAUUGAUCUUUCACACUUGAGAGUUUUUGGCUCCACCUGCUUUGUUCACAACAAAUCCCCUCAUCAUGAUAAAUUAGAUCCUAGAGCUAUCAAAUGUAUUUUCUUGGGUUACUCAUCCACUCAAAAAGGCUACAAGUGUACAAUCCAAUCACAAAUAAGCUUCUAGUUUCAAGGGAUGUAAGGUUUAAUGAAAAUAUGUCCUACUUCUCAAAGAAACUAAGUGAUGCAGAUCAGGGGCAGUUUUUGAGUGAUAUGUUUCCAUUGCCUAUUGUCCCGUACUACCAAGAAAAUCCUCCAUCAUGUGACACUACAAGUCCAUCACCUGAACAUGCUCCAUCCCAAGUCACAAAUGUUGAGCAUCCAGUCCAGAUUCGUCGAAACCCUUCUAGGGUUCGUCAACCCCCACUUCGACUACAUGAUUAUGUCACCUACACCUCUAGGUAUCCUCUCACAGAUUUUGUUUCCUAUAAGCAGUUUUCACCCUCUCAUAUCUCAUUUCUUAGUGCCUUGGAUCAUACUCAUGAACCACAAACAUUUCAAGAAGCAAGUAAACAUAAAGUUUGGCAAACUGCAAUGAGGGACGAACUGCAAGCUCUUCAUGAAAACAAAACCUGGAGUGUAAUUAAACUUCCCACAUGGAAGAAAGUAGUGGGUAGCCGUUGGGUGUACAAGACAAAGUUCAACUCAGAUGGGACUAUUGAAAGACACAAAGCUUGUUUAGUGGCUCGUGGUUUUACUCAGACUUAUGGCUUGGAUUACAAGGAAACCUUUGUUCCCGUAGCCAAAAUGAACACUGUAAGGGUUAUCUUGUCAGUUGCUGUGAAUCAAUCUUGGCCUCUCUAUCAAAUGGAUGUGAAGAAUGCUUUUUUGCAUGGGGAAUUAGAGGAGGAAGUGUACAUGAAACUACCACCAGGGCAUCCUCAAUCGAGCGAUCCUGACAUGGUUUGUAAACAGCACAAAUCUAUUUAUGGUCUGAAACAGUCUCCACGUGCCUGGUAUGCAAAACUAAGCUCAGUCCUUGAAGAGUUUGGCUUCCAAAGAAGCAGUGCAGAUUCCUCCCUAUUUGUUUGUAAUGGCUCAGUUGGAAAAGUCGUUGUUUUAAUCUAUGUAGAUGAUCUCAUAGUGACAGGUGACAAUGAUGCAGAAAUCCAAUCUCUCAAGCUUUCUCUUCGAAACAAAUUUGCAAUCAAGGAUUUGGGGCACCUCAAAUAUUUCCUUGGUAUUGAACUUGCGACUUCACAUCAAGGUCUCUUUCUCAAUCAAAGAAAAUAUAUCCUUGAUCUCUUGCAGGAAUCUAACUUAAUGGAUUGUAAACCUGCACGCACUCCUCUGGAUAGUAAGCUGCAACUCACUACUCACAGUGAAGUUCUUUCCAAUGUUACUGAAUAUCAAAGAUUGGUAGGAAACCUUAUUUAUCUCACAAUCACGCGGCCAGAUAUUUCCUAUGCUGUGUGUAUUGUGAGUCAGUUUAUGCAUGCUCCUACAUCAGUUCAUACGCAGAUUGUGAAGAGAAUUCUUCGUUAUCUAAAAGCGUCUGUUGGUCGCGGGAUCCUUAUGAUAAAGAAUGAUAGCACUGCCAUCAUGGGUUACACAGAUGCUGAUUGGGCUGGGCACUCUCUUGAUCGCAAAUCAACCACAGGUUUUUGUACCUUUGUAGGUGGAAACUUGGUAACAUGGCGCAACAAGAAGCAAAGCGUUGUAGCUCGUUCCAGUGCAGAGGCCGAGUAUCGAGCUAUGGCAUCCACUGCUUGUGAACUUAUUUGGCUAAAAAGUCUUCUGUUUGAUUUAGGGUUUCACAGUAAGGAACCUAUAUCUAUGUUCUGUGACAAUCAAGCUGCCAUGCAUAUUGCUUCCAAUCCUGUAUUUCACGAGCGAACGAAGCAUAUUGAAGUGGAUUGUCAUUAUGUUCGAGCACAGGUUCAAGCCAACAUCAUCAACACUCAUUACACUCGCAGUCAUGAUCAAUUGGCUGACAUUUUUACUAAACCUCUUCCUACGGCUCAGUUCAUGCGCAUUCUGUCCAAGCUUGGCUCAAGGAAUCCCCUCGAUCCAGCUUGAUGGGGAGUGUUGGAAUGCAUGCAAGUCAUAUCUUUUGUUAAAAUGCAUGCAUGAAAUAAACAUGUUGGAUGACUAGUGAAGUUAGGCUAGUCAACAUUCUUUGUGUAAAUUAGGCAAGUUAGGCAAGUUAGGAAAUUAGGCAAGUUAGGCAAGUUAGGCAAGUUAGGCUUAUGUCUACUUUCUUUUCCUAUAUAUAUGUUUCAUUUGUAAUUGUUUCUUCAAGAAAUACACAUAAAAAAUUCUACACAGCAGAAACUCAGAUAUGAAACAGUACCUGAGGAUCGACGAUCGGUUUCUGUUUCUUUACGUAAGCAUGGGGAUCCGCAGAGGCCAGAGCGGCCCUUUCCUGCUGUUCCCGCUUGAGGUCCUGUGAGGGCUUCACCCAGAGGAAGUAGGCUAGCGUACCAGCUACCACCCAUGACGCCAGGUUGCUUCCUCCUCUCAGGCCUCCCGUCGAAUUCGAUACGAAGGACCUCACAUUUCCCAAUCUUCUCUUCCAUGUGCUCGUCAUUGAUGUCAAUUUCGUCGCCUCUCUCGCCGAUAUGGGGAUUCGGGAGUUAUAGGGUUUUUUAUUUCUCUGAUCCCCCUUUGCAUGAUUUAUGCUAUUUCCAAACUAUAACACCGAAACGGUGGAGGCAGGAGGGCCUCCUCAAGUAAAGAAGAAUUUUAAGCCUCUUGGGCCACUCUUUUAAGUUGAUUGGACUGGGCCUCUUGGGCCACUCUUUUAGGAUUCGUUUGUUGCACCAAACUAUCUCGGAUUAAACUAGAUGCAGAUACUAAGCUGGACUGGCUUAGACUAGACUAAGCUGGAUUAACUUAGUGCAGCGUUUGGUGCAGUGUAGGACUAAAAAGCAAAUAACUAAAGGACUCAAAUAUUAUAUUAUUUAAUCUAUAUUUAUUAAUAUUUUAUUAUUAAUUUAUCACUUUUUUUUUCUAGAAUCAUCUCUCUAUCUGCCAAUAACUUUUCAUUUUUUUCAUCUUAACCCAUUCCUCUUUUCCUCCGCUAGUCUCUCCCUCUCCUCUCCCUCUUUGUAUCUUGUUUCACCAUUUUUCUAGAAUUCUCAUCCUCUUCGUAUACCUCUCCCUAUUUUCCUCUGCCCACUCUCUCCCUCCCCUCUCCCACUUUUCCUCAUCCACUCUCCCCCUCUUUUGCUUAUGCAAAGAUUCGUGCAGAGGGUUUAUCGAAGCUCUUCACCCAGCGCCUUCACCGGUUUUGUAGGAAAAUCUCAAUUUUUUCUGGUGAUUUUGCCUUUUUAUUUUGAAUUUGUGUGGGGAUUCGUCUGCAGGUGCUUAAUUCUGGGGGUUUUGCAUUUUUUUUGUUUUGAAUUUUAGGUAUUGAUUUUGAGAUUUAAGCAGUGGGUUUGAGAUCUGGGCAUGGGUAAGGGAGUCAGAGUUGCAGACGAAAAAGGCGUGCAAACGAUGUUGGAGAUGGGAUUAGGAAUCCCAUGCUUUUUGGGGGGUCCCACUAGGACGACCUAGCGAAGCACUUAGUCGGAACGAGUCCAACUUAGUCUCAUUUAAGUUUAGUCCAAUUCGCAUCAAACACGGGAUUAGGAGUCUUAGCAAAGCAAUCAAGUCCAAUGAACUCUAAUGAGGGCAAACAAACAAGCCCUUAAGUUACUUGGGGGAUUCCACGGUCGUAAAUAAUUAAAAGAUAUUCACAUGAGAAAAAAGAUGACUAUAAUAUUUCGAUUUCUCCAAAACCUAGCAUACCUCGUUUUAUGUUUAUAUUUGUAAAUCGUGGUCCAUGGGUCCACUAUUUAAGAUUAAUAGAAUUAUCUUUAAGUAGUGGCCUUGCCCAGGCUAAUCUAUUGUAUCGUCUUAAACUUUUAUUAACACAAUAAUUGAUUUUAGGACAUAAAUUCUAGUUCUAAUAAUUUCUCACCGGCACUAAAAAUUAAUCAGUGUCUCUUUAAACCAAUGACAAAUAUACCAAAAUUUUCAUAUUGCUAACAUAAAGAAGUAUGAUAAAAGCAAUGGAUUUGCCGGUCGUCAUUGGAAUAGAGCAUGAGUAAACCAUCAACGAUGAAUGUAUAUGGACAAAACACAUCUAUGAAGGACGGAGAGAGAAUAUGUUAAAGAGAAUAUUGUCUUUAUAAUGUGUUACAGAACAAAAAAGUUAUCUUCUAUCAGGAAUAUUGUUAUUCUUUACAACUUUGAUUGUAGUUGUAGUGGACAAUAAGAAUAUUAUUAUACUGUGAAAUUAAUUAAUAUUAUAAAGUAAAGAUCUAUUUGGUAAGUGCAUCUUCAAGAUUAUUUUCGGAAGUGUAUUAAUUAAAUAGUAUAGAGUAUGAAUAUCUAUCUAUAUACUAUAUUUUGUUUUUGUUUUGUUUUUGUUUUUUGUAAAAUGGGGACAAUUGGUGGCAAGUCACGUUAUCCAUCUGUAGACAUCGAAAUUUCGGUAAAUAAAUGUUGACCGAUAAAUCAAAGUUUCAACGCUCAUGUAUUACAUAAAUUUUACACAUAGCGUGUGUCUAAACAACAAAUCGAGAAUUAUCGGAAAAGUCAUCAAACAGGACACGUGUCAACACCUGGCAUAAACGACUUAUUUCAUCUAGAAUAUUAUAUUCAAAAUUAGGCCUUGAAAAAUUCUAUAAAUAGAAGCCAAUUUCAUUCAUUUGAGGGGACCAAUUCAUAUUACACCUUGAAACUCUGAAGCUCUGAAACUCCGAAGCUCUCAAGCAUCCAGGUUCUCGAAGAAUCAAGAAAGCCUUCUUUGUUCUUCGUUUAUCGUUCUUCCAAGAUCAAGCCCCGACGGCCCUUGGAUCAACAAUCAUCCACCUUCAAGAUCAAGCCCUGACGACCCUUGAAGAAAGUGUUCAUCGUUCAUCAUCCGUUCAUCCCGAAGAAUUAAGAAAGCCUUUUUCGUUCUUCGUUCAUCGUUCUUCCAAGAUCAAGCCUCGACGGCCCUUGGAUUAACAAUCAUCCACCUUCUAGAUCAAGCCCCAAAGGCCCUUGAAGAACUUCCACCAAUUCAAGAUCAAGCCCCGACGACCCUUGAAGAAAGUGUUCAUCGUUCAUCAUCCGUUCAUCCCAAAGAAUCAAGAAAGCCUUCUUCGUUCUUCGUUCAUCGUUCUUCCAAGAUCAAGCCUCGACGGCCCUUUGGAUCAGCAACGUCGACAAAUCCACACAUCCAACCGUCCUUCAAGAUCAAAGCCCAAAAGCCUUUGAAAAUCCGUUCAUCACUGUUCUUUAAGAUCAAGCCCAAAAGCCACUUGAAGAUCCGUUCAUCACCAUUAUUCAAGAUCAAAUCUCAAUGGCCCUUGAAGAAACGCUCAUCCUCAAGAUCAAGCCCCAACGGCUCCUUGAAGAUCCAUUCAAAUCCACUUUCAAGAUCAAGCCCACGGCCUUUGAAGAACGUUCAUCUUUAGAUUAAGCCCAACGACCCCUUUGGAUCAAUCGUACAUCCACAAAUCAACACCUGACGGAGAUCGAAUAAGAGGAUCAAAUUAGAGAGAGAUUGUAACCCAAAAUCAUCAAAUACCGAAAUUUUUGUUUGUGCACGUUGUUUUGUCUCUUUCGUUUCAGGAAAUUUUUGUGUUCACACCACCUAUUACGGGGGCUGGGAAGACUCACAUAGGCAUUUUAGCCUUCCCCUGACCACAAGUCUAGCUUCCAUACCAGCAGCGGGUUUUGAACUCGAGACCUUCAGUUUUUAGUAUUCAAAGAUCAAUGCAUUACCGUUAAGAGAGUGGGUUGGAUGGUCAACCUAUCCUAACUUAACCUUUACAAUUUGGAUUUGGAGUGGGCCCAGUUCAUGCGGUUUUAGUCUGGUUUUAUUUAGAUUCGAGUUUAUUCGCGUUUGGUUCGGGUUCAUCCAACUUUAUCGAGUUUAAUCUUAUAAUACCUAAUUUUGCAUGAUUUUUCAAAUUUGAACCAAACAAAGUCAAUAUUAAUUAAACUUUCAUUUACACAUCAUCAUCCACACAAAAGCUAAAACAAACAAGUUGGAGACUAUUUCUAAUGUUUCAACCAUGCAAAGUUGAAAGUUAAAUUAUAAGACGUACCAAAACUUCAACCAAAAGAAACGUGACGUACCAAAACUUCAACCGGAAAAAAUUUAAAAGUAAAACUUUCAUUCAUUAUCAUUAUGAAAAACGACAAUAAACCUUACAUAACUUAUAUAAUAUGAAAUGAGAUAGGUAAUAUGUGCACGAGUGAAUUCGGGCUCAAAAUCAGGUUGAGUUUUGGUUAACAUGGGUGGACAAUACAUCCACCCAACCCAACCCAAUAAAUUAAAGAGUUGAGGUUGGCUUGGAUUUGGACGAGUUUUUCUUCAUUCUAACUUGCUUAAUCAGAUUUAAAAUCGAGUUUAGUAUGUGCCGAUUCGGGUUGACCAAACCCAAGUUGUGUUGAAUUAUAAGUCUCUAGCUGAUUAGAAAUAAGUUAUGAUGUUAAUAUGUGUAUGCACUUAUGUUAAAAUACUAAGUGAGAAGAUAUAUAGAUGUAAAGGCCAUGAGUGCCAUGUGUGAUGAUCUUAUAGAUUAGCUAAAUGUGUGGCUGAGAUCUAUUAUUUUGAAUGUCCUUGAUCCAGCUCAGGUUUUGUAAAGCUAUAUAUCCUCUCUUGCACGUUGAGUGAAAGCCGGAGAGACAUUUAAUGAAAACAUUAUUCUUCUGAGUAAUUGCAGAAGAAAGAACCACCACCUUCUCUCUCUGUUUUUCUUCUUCUCUUUCAAAUUUGCUCUCUCUAAAACACUAACAUGGCCUCAGAGCCUGUGUUCGAUUAGAUCUGGGCGUGUUCUGUGCACUCAAACAUCACUGGUUUUGGGUUCGGUGAAGUUUGCCGGAGUUUAUUUGUGAUCUAAGAACUACGUGUUUCUGGAUUCACACAAGCUCACGAUGGCUAGAUCUGGGAGUACUGAAGUAAGGACCCCGAUCUUCUCCGGUGAGAACUACGAGUUCUGGAGAAUCAAAAUGGUUACCAUUUUCAAGUCACAUGGACUAUGGAGUCUGUUGGAAAAAGGAAUUUCAACUUCCGAUUCGAAGAAGAAGAAAGCUAAGACUGAUGAAGAUACAGAUGUUGAUACUGACGAUGAUGAGAAAAUGGCUGCAAUCUUCAUGAAAGAUGCAAAAGCUCUCGGAAUCAUUCAAAACGCAGUCUCCGAUCAGAUCUUCCCUCGAAUCGCAAACGCAGAUUCAGCAAAAAUGGCAUGGGAUCUGUUAUAUGGCGAAUAUCACGGUGGGGAUCAGGUAAGAUCGGUGAAACUUCAAAAUCUUAGACGAGAAUUUGAAUACACUAGAAUGCGUGAUGAUGAAUCUUUGACUGGGUAUCUUACUCGUUUAAAUGAUCUGAUUAAUCAAAUGAAGACGUUUGGUGAAACUCUGUCAAAUGAGAAAUUAGUUCAGAAGGUGUUAAUCAGUCUCACUAAGAUGUAUGAUCCUAUAUGCUUAGUGAUAGAAAAUACCAAAUGUCUAGAAUCUGUUGAACUGCAAGAGGUACUAGCCAUAUUGAAGAGUCAAGAGCAGAGGUUUGAUUUGCAUUCCACCGAUGCAACUGAGAGAGCAUUUUCUUCUCUUACUGUUAAUUCAAAAUGGCAGAAUCGAGGUUAUGCUCAGUCUAGUGUUUUUAAAUCACAGAAAAAUUGGAAUCAAAAGGGUAAGAAGUGGGAUUCAAAACCAAAGUUUCAGCAAAAAUCAUUCACAAAUGUUGCACAGAAUAGUACUUCUUCACAGGUUAUGGGUCAAGAGAGUGUAAAACCUCAAUGUAAAGUGUGUUCAAAGUUUCAUUAUGGUGAAUGUAGAUACAAGGGGAAAUCGAAGUGCUAUAACUGUGAUAGAUUUGGACAUUGGGCCAAAGAGUGUACUGUUGGAAAGUCUGUUCAAAAGGCAAACUGUGCAAAUCAAAUGGAGGUGACAGGAAAUCUAUUUUAUGCAAAUUGUGCAGUUACUGAGACUAAGGUCAAUGGAGAUUGGUACAUAGAUAGUGGUUGCAGUAACCACAUGACAGGAAAUGUGGAUUUGCUGGUUGAUGUGAGAACCAACAUAGCUGGCAAAGUUCAAAUGCCAACUGGAGAUCUUGUGAAUGUAGCUGGAAUGGGAUCACUGGUGAUAGAUACAAAUAAGGGCAGAAAAUAUGUGAGAGAGGUAAUGUAUUUGCCUGGUUUAAAAGAGAAUCUGCUAAGUGUAGGUCAAAUGGAUGAGCACGGAUAUUUUCUUGUGUUUGGUGGUGGAGUGUGCAGUGUGUAUGAUGGUCCAUCACUGGAAUGUUUAAUCAUGAAAGUGAAGAAGAAAGUGAACAGGUGUUAUCCACUGGUUUUAUUAUCUGAGAAUCAAGUAGUCUUAAAGGCUAGUGUCACUCACUCCACUGAGAUUUGGCAUAAGAGAUUUGGACACCUGCAUCUUGAUGGUCUCAAACAGUUGAGAGACAAGGAUAUGGUACACGGCUUACCUCAGCUUGAAGACUACAAUGGAGUCUGUGCAGGUUGUCAAUUUGGAAAACAACACAGAGAAGAGUUUCCAAGAAGUCAAGUACAGAGAGCAACUUCUCCACUUGAACUUAUACAUGUUGAUCUGUGUGGACCCAUGAAAAAUGAGUCAAUUGCAGGAAAUAAAUAUUUCAUGCUCUUGGUAGAUGAUAUGACCAGGAUGGUAUGGGUCUAUUUUCUGCGAUACAAAUCUGAUGCAUUCAACUGUUUUAAAAAAUUCAAAGCCAUGGUAGAACUACAAAGUGGUUUCAAGAUCAAGUAUCUGAGAAGUGAUAGAGGAGGGGAGUUCAAAUCAUUCGAAUUUGACUCGUUCUGUGAAAAAGCUGGAAUUCAAAGGCAGUUUACCCUUGCAUAUACUCCACAGCAAAAUGGAGUAGUAGAAAGGAAAAACAGGACUGUGGUUGAGAUGGCUAAAUCUAUGUUGCAUGAGAAGAGUUUACCAUAUUUUCUCUGGGCAGAAGCAGUUCACACAUCUGUGUAUGUUUUAAACAGAUGUCCCACAAGGGCUUUGAAAAACAUCACACCUUUUGAAGCCUACUCGGGAAGGAAACCAGGAAUAGCUCAUCUGAGAGUAUUUGGUUCAGCAUGUUAUGUUCAUGUUCCAAGUGAGCACAGACAUAAACUUGAGCCUAAAAGUUUCAAAGGGGUGUUUGUGGGAUAUGCAACUUGUGAAAAGGGAUAUAGGGUGUUUGAUCCCAUAUCAAAGAAGUUGAUAUUAUCAAGGGAUAUUGUUUUUGAUGAAGAAGCUGUAUGGAAUUGGGAAGUGAACUCUGAGCAGCCUAUCUCUACUACUGAAAACUUUGUUUAUGAUGAAUUAAGAAUAGGAAGAAAUGAAGGAAUGAUGCAGACUCCUACCUCAUCAACAGCAUGCUCACCUAGGAAUGCUCUUAGUAUUGGAGAUUCUGUCCAAUUUAAGGGACUUACAUCAGGUGAAUCUGUAAACAACUCAAACUUGAGUGAAAAGGAUACUCAAGCAUUUGAUCAUACACCAUUGAAGUGGAGAAAACUGGAUGACGUCUUAGCACAAUGUAAUCUCUGUAUUAUGGAUCCAGAGAAAUAUGAAGAUGCCAAACAAGAUGUGUCUUGGUUAAAAGCCAUGGAGGAUGAGAUGUUCAUGAUUGAAAAGAAUGGCACCUGGAUGCUUGUUGAUAGACCAACUGAGAAACUUGUCAUUGGGGUUAAAUGGGUGUACAAAACCAAAUUAAACCUUGAUGGUUCAGUGUUGAAGAAUAAAGCAAGGUUAGUUGCAAAGGGCUAUGCUCAAAAGCCUGGUUUGGACUACAAUGAGACCUAUGCACCAGUUGCUAGGUUAGAUACUAUUAGAACUUUGAUUGCCUUAGCUGCACACAAGAGCUGGAAGUUAUAUCAGUUAGAUGUGAAAUCGGCCUUUUUGAAUGGAGUUUUACAAGAAGAGGUCUAUGUUGAACAGCCCGAAGGUUUUGUUGUUAAAGGCAAGGAAGAAAAAGUGUACAAACUUCAUAAGGCUCUCUAUGGUCUAAAACAAGCUCCACGAGCUUGGUAUGGUGAAAUUGAUAACUAUUUCACACAGUGUGAUUUUGAGAAGAGCCUAAGUGAACCAACUCUAUACAUAAAGGCAAGGGGAGAAGAUGUCUUGAUUGUUUCCAUCUAUGUAGAUGACAUAGUCUACACUGGAAACUGUAAAACAAUGCUAGAAGACUUCAAGGAAGAUAUGAAGAUGAAAUAUGAGAUGACAGAUUUGGGACUGUUACAUCACUUUCUUGGAAUGGGGGUGAUCCAAACCGACUCUAGCAUCUUCAUUCAUCAGAAGAAGUAUGCAAGUUCUUUACUAAACAAGUUCGGUCUGAAUGAGUGCAAAUCUGUGAUCACACCACUUGUGGCAACUGAGAAAUUAACUAAAGAUGAUGGAAGUGGAGCAGUAAGUGAAGAGUUAUACAGAAGCAUUGUGUGAAGUCUUCUAUAUCUCACUGCUACUAGGCCAGACAUCAUGUAUGCAUCUAGUUUACUUGCUAGAUUUAUGCACUGUCCUACUAGCAAGCAUUUUGGAACUGCCAAACGUGUGCUCAGGUAUAUCAAAGGGACUCUAGACUAUGGUUUGGAGUAUACAAAGGGCAAGAAAGCAAUGUUGAUUGGCUAUUGCGACGGUGACUGGGGUGGAUCAUCAGAUGAUAGCAAAAGUACAUCUGGAUAUGCAUUUUCUUUUGGAAGUGGAGUUUUUUCUUGGGCUUCAGUUAAACAAAGUUGUGUGGCAUUAUCCACUGCAGAAGCAGAGUACAUAAGUGCAUCAGAGGCUACUACUCAAGCUAUAUGGCUGAGAUUUGUCUUGGAAGAUUUCGGAGAACUACAGACUGAAGCCACUCCUCUUCACUGUGACAACACUUCUGCCAUUGCAAUCACUAGGAAUUCUGUCUUUCAUCAAAAGACCAAACACAUAGACAGAAGGUAUCACUUCAUUAAAGAUGCACUGCAAGAAGGAAUCAUUGAUUUGAUUUAUUGUCCUACUGAAGAGCAGAUAGCAGAUAUUUUCACAAAACCUUUGGCCAAGGAUCGGUUCAACUAUCUCAGAAAUUUGCUUGGAGUGAAAUCAGCUCAAGACUUAAAGGGAGUGUUGAAUUAUAAGUCUCUAGUUGAUUAGAAAUAAGUUGUGAUGUUAAUAUGUGUAUGCACUUAUGUUAAAAUACUAAGUGAGAAGAUAUAUAGAUGUAAAGGCCAUGAGUGCCAUGUGUGAUGAUCUUAUAGAUUAGCUAAAUGUGUGGCUGAGAUCUAUUAUUUUGAAUGUCCUUGAUCCAGCUCAGGUUUUGUAAAGCUAUAUAUCCUCUCUUGCACGUUGAGUGAAAGCCGGAGAGACAUUUAAUGAAAACAUUAUUCUUCUGAGUAAUUGCAGAAGAAAGAACCACCACCUUCUCUCUCUGUUUUUCUUCUUCUCUUUCAAAUUUGCUCUCUCUAAAACACUAACAAGUUGCACCCUAAUUACAGUUAUUUCAAUUUGAUUUUAUAUGCACGCCAUGUGUGAAAGUUGUUCGCAUUUUAUUAUCUAUCUAUACUAUUAGCUAAUCCCUUUUAAGUUCGAUUAUCUCUAAAGAAGAAUUUGAACCACAUUAUUGCUAACUCAUUAUGAGGCUAAGUCCAUACCCUUAAUGUAGAUAAUAUCGCUUUCGUUAAAAAAAAAAAAACUAAGAACAAUUUAACUUUUAGGAAUAUUUAUGUCAAAUAAUUAAAUAAGUUAUUUAAACCCUAUAAAAUUGUUGUAUUGUAGACUAUUAGAUGGAUGGUUUAGACGUGUUUAUCUUUAGCAAUUUUCUUCACAAAAUGUAGUUUUCGUUGCUUCAUUAGUCAUACAAAAGGGAUUAAUACGUCCUGUCGGUUGGCACAUGGGUGGGCUACCUAUAAUAUAAGCCAAACCGAGCGAGGAAGCAAAAGGAGUGGGUGGGUGUUGACAGUUGAGAGAGAGAGAGAGAGAGAGAGAGAGAGAGAGAGAGGUGGGAGUGUGCGUGAUAAAAAAUGGCGGUUGAGAAGGGAAGAUACUGUGUAACAGGAGCUGGAGGGUUUCUUGCGUCGUGGGUUGUUAAGCUUCUUCUUUCCAAGGAUUCUAUUAUCCACGGAACCCUCAGAGACCCCUGUAUGUAUCCUCUAUCCAACCAUUUUCCUUUCUUUCUUUCGACUGUUUGCACUUGCAGUGACUACUGUUCCAUCGAUUGUAGGACAAGAUACAUCUGUUUUCAUUUUCAUUAUCUGCUACUUUGAUUCUCGUUUGAUGCUUAAUUAUUUAGAGGCUGCUUGAUUAUCAUUUCGUUUUUCAAUUUUUUCAAUUUUCCUUUUUCUUUAAAAAAAAAAAAUUUUAAAAAAGGAAAAAAAAAAACUGAAAACUUGUUUGGUAACUAUUUGAGUUUUUUUAAUUUGGCAACCAGUUACCAAACAUGUAAUGAAAACUAAAAACUGGCAUAGUUAUCGAGCGGACCUUUAACAAGAUAAAUGCUCAGUUCUUAAAUUCUAAUGAUUUUGGCUAUAAUUUUGUUGGUGUGAUAUGCUUGAUUACAAGUAAUGCAAACACAAAAUGAACAAAUUUCUUGAUUGAGUGGAAACUGGCUCAAAGAGUGUCAGGAAGCGGAAAUCGUGGAUGAUUAAUAGUACUGUAUUUGUGUUGUGCACAAACGCAGCUAAUGACAAGCACGCCCACUUGAAAAAACUUGACAAGGCAUCUGAGAACCUGAAACUAUUCAAAGCGGACUUGUUGGACUAUGAAUCCCUUCACACAGCGAUUCAAGGAUGUGAUGGAGUGUUUCAUGUUGCCAGUCCAGUUCCCUACGACCCUGUGCCAAAUCCUGAGGCAAGAAUUUCUCUCAUUCAUUGAUCACCGAGAUACUCGAUCUCAAUUGCAAUAGAUUAGUUAGCAGUUAGUACACUCACUUCUCUUCGGUUGUUGCUAAUUAGUAUAGUACUCUAUUUGUGGUUGGUACUAUGUACAGUUUUAUUAUGCCAAUAUAUGCUAACCAAAUAAAUGCUCAUAUUUCCUACAUUUUGAUUUAUCAUUUGUCCAGGUAGAAUUGAUUGAACCUGCCGUGAAGGGAACACUUAAUGUACUUAAAGCAUGCCUUGAAGCAAAAGUCAAGCGAGUUGUUUUCGUGUCAUCUGCAGCUUCUCUUGUCAUGAAUCCUAAGUGGUCUCAAGGCCAAGUGUUGAAUGAAACUUGUUGGUCAGACAAGGAAUACUGCAGAAGUACUAAGGUAUUCCAUUAACAUAUAUAUGUGAUUGUAGUUCUAGAAUGAACUCAUAAUUUUGGUGAUCAAUGCAAUGCACAACUUUCCUUUUAGGAUCCAGUUAGGAGUGUUGAUUCUUCACCGAGGAUACCAAGAGAAAAGGACUUCCAGGGAUUAUGUUUUAAUUCCCCAAGAAAUAUCGAACAAUUAGAAAUAAAGGAAAGGAAAGUGUAUUAUUUACUCUAUAGUGACGAAAAACCGUAGAGUUAGAAAAUAUUAAAACAAUAACAAUAAUCUUCACUAAAACAGGAAAAGGGAAAGAAUGGAAUUUGCCAAUGACGGUAAGUUUUGAGAUUGACUUUCAAAAUGAUAAACCGCACACAUUUCAUUAUCAUAACAAACUAUUUUCGAAACUGAAAUUAAAAUUCAUUCUAUAAUGGUCAAAUCAUGUUUUUCAAUAGUUCUAUGCAAUGAAAAAAAUAUAUAUUGAAUAUCAUCUCGUGCGGUUCUUGAACUUUUACUCAUAGUUUAUCCAGCAUUUUCACUUUUGGUAGAGAUUUGAAAUGGUGCAAAUCCAUUUAGUGUGAUGAUAUCAUCUAGCUAUUCAUUCUGCAACAUUGCACUCGUAAAGUUAUUUCAGUGUGAUUGUGAGUGUUUCGACUAUCUAAUUAUUUCUUUAAUCUUUCAGAAUUGGUAUUGUCUUUCAAAAACUGAAGCAGAAUAUGAAGCCCUGGAGUAUGCAAGAAUAAAUGGGCUUGACUUGGUAACUGUUUGUCCUACACUUAUUAUGGGGCCAAUUCUGCAGUCCACUGUAAAUGCAAGUACCUUGGUCCUCAUCAAGCUUUUGAAGGGUACUUACUUUUGACAUAACCACUUGAUGCUUAAUUAAAUCCCUAAUUAAAUCCCUUGCUUUGUUAGAAAACUUAAAUCCAUUUCUUUAGAAUCAAGGGUUUUCACAAAUAAACCCCUAUAAAACUCCAUUUCACAGUUAAAACUUUAUAGGUCAGGGAUUUGUUUUCUAUAAUUUGAUUCUUGAAAUUUUUCUUACUACCAUUAACAGUUACAUGCUUUUCAUAAUUAUGUAUAAAAUCUACAUAUGUUUAGAUAGAGAGGUAGGUGGGGUUGUAAACUCAUCCUUUGGUAAUUGUCUAUUGUAGGUGUUUAUGCAUUUGGCUCCAUGUUGAUCUCUAUGACCCUGGAUCCAGGUUUAUCCCCCAGUCAUGAAUAUUCAUAUUUACUAAUUUAAUAUUGUCUCCUCGCAGAAGGGUAUGAGUCACUGGAAAACAAGCUGCGGAUGAUAGUUGAUGUGCGGGAUGUAGCUGAAGCAGUCAUUAUGGUGUAUGAGAAGCCUGAGGCUGAAGGAAGAUACAUAUGCACCGCUCACAAUAUCAAGACGACAGAUCUGGUUGAAGAGCUGAAGAGCAUUUAUCCUAAUUACAGUUAUCCUAAGAAGUAAGGUUUCUCUUCAACCUAUACUUGGUAACUAGAAUGGAGAGAUUUUCAAAUGAGUUAUGUAUAUAGCGUUAUUGAUCAUCGAUGUCAUCCAAUGCAUAUUAAGCAGAAUGGACAGGGAAUCUUGUUGUAAUGGUUUUCCCUUUAAACUAAUUUUAUGAAUUUGGAUUAUACAUGUAUAUUGGCAGCUUUGUUGAAGUAGAAGAACAACCAAGGUUGAGCUCGGAGAAACUUCAGAGGCUGGGUUUGAGUUUCCGACCAUUGAAAGAGACGCUUACUGGCUCAGUUGAAAGCUACAAAGAGGCUGGACUGCUCUGAUACUGAAAACAUCUCAGAGCGUGCUCUACGAAGCUAACUACAUUGUUUGAAGUUACACAUCCCACGAUGGAAGAGGAAAAUUUGGCUU